UACGGAGGGUGCGAGCGUUGUCCGGAAUUAUUGGGCGUAAAGAGCUUGUAGGCGGUUUGUCGCGUCUGCUGUGAAAAUCCGGGGCUCAACCCCGGACUUGCAGUGGGUACGGGCAGACUGGAGUGUGGUAGGGGAGACUGGAAUUCCUGGUGUAGCGGUGGAAUGCGCAGAUAUCAGGAGGAACACCGAUGGCGAAGGCAGGUCUCUGGGCCACUACUGACGCUGAGAAGCGAAAGCAUGGGGAGCGAACAGG
rnacentral:rRNA from 1 species